rnacentral:rRNA from 1 species
CCUACGGGUGGCAGCAGUGGGGAAUCUUCCGCAAUGGACGAAAGUCUGACGGAGCAACGCCGCGUGAGUGAUGACGGCCUUCGGGUUGUAAAGCUCUGUUAAUCGGGACGAAUGGUUCUUGUGCAAAUAGUGCGAGGAUUUGACGGUACCGGAAUAGAAAGCCACGGCUAACUACGUGCCAGCAGCCGCGGUAAUACGUAGGUGGCAAGCGUUGUCCGGAAUUAUUGGGCGUAAAGCGCGCGCAGGCGGAUUGGUCAGUCUGUCUUAAAAGUUCGGGGCUUAACCCCGUGAUGGGAUGGAAACUGCCAAUCUAGAGUAUCGGAGAGGAAAGUGGAAUUCCUAGUGUAGCGGUGAAAUGCGUAGAUAUUAGGAAGAACACCAGUGGCGAAGGCGACUUUCUGGACGAAAACUGACGCUGAGGCGCGAAAGACAGGGGAGCGAACGGGAUUAGAUACCCCAGUAGUC